rnacentral:rRNA from 1 species
AACUGCGAGUGAAGCGGGAAAAGCUCAAAUUUAAAAUCUGGCAGUCUUUUGGCUGUCCGAGUUGUAAUUUAGAGAAGCGUCUUCCGCGCCGGACCGUGCACAAGUCUCCUGGAAUGGAGCGUCAUAGAGGGUGAGAAUCCCGUCUUUGGCAUGGACACCCGGGGCUUCUGCGAUGCGCUCUCGAAGAGUCGAGUUGUUUGGGAAUGCAGCUCAAAAUGGGUGGUGAACUCCAUCUAAAGCUAAAUAUUGGCGAGAGACCGAUAGCGAACAAGUACCGUGAGGGAAAGAUGAAAAGCACUUUGGAAAGAGAGUGAAACAGUACGUGAAAUUGUUGAAAGGGAAACGCUUGAAGUCAGUCGCGUUGAUCGAGACUCAGCCUCGCCUUGGCUUGGCAUACUUCUCGGCCGACGGGCCAGCAUCAAUUUUGUCUCUUGGAUAAUGACAAGGGAAAGGUGGCACCUUCACCGGUGUGUUAUAGUCUCCUGUCGCAUGCGAGGGGUGGGAUUGAGGAACUCAGCACGCACCUCUUGGUGUCGGGACUUCUGUCC